CAAUAGCGUAUAUUUAAGUUGUUGCAGUUAAAAAGCUCGUAGUUGGAUUUCGGAUGGGGCUUGCCGGUCCGUCGUUUCGAUGUGCACUGGCCAGUCCUAUCUUGUUGUCGGGGACUAGCUCCUGGGCUUCACUGUCCGGGACUAGGAGCUGACGAGGUUACUUUGAGUAAAUUAGAGUGUUCAAAGCAAGCCUACGCUCUGAAUACAUUAGCAUGGAAUAACACGAUAGGACUCUGGCUUAUCUUGUUGGUCUGUGGGACCAGAGUAAUGAUUAAGAGGGACAGUCGGGGGCAUUCGUAUUUCAUUGUCAGAGGUGAAAUUCUUGGAUUUAUGAAAGACGAACUUCUGCGAAAGCAUUUGUCAAGGAUGUUUNCAUUAA
rnacentral:rRNA from 1 species